rnacentral:rRNA from 1 species
UACGGGGGGGGCAAGCGUUGUUCGGAAUUACUGGGCGUAAAGGGUUUGUAGGUGGCUUGCUAAGUCAGACGUGAAAGCCCACAGCUUAACUGUGGGUCUGCGGUGGAUACGGGCAGACUAGAGGCAGGUAGGGGAGAACGGAAUUCCCGGUGUAGCGGUGAAAUGCGCAGAUAUCGGGAGGAACACCGGUGGCGAAGGCGGUUCUCUGGGCCUGUACUGACGCUGAGGAGCGAAAGCGUGGGGAGCGAACAGG